rnacentral:rRNA from 1 species
UACAGAGGGGGCGAGCGUUGUUCGGAAUUACUGGGCGUAAAGGGCGCGUAGGCGGCCUGCUAAGUCAUACGUGAAAUCCCUCGGCUCAACCGGGGAACUGCGUGUGAUACUGGCGGGCUUGAAUCCGGGAGAGGAAUGCGGAAUUCCAGGUGUAGCGGUGAAAUGCGUAGAUAUCUGGAGGAAUACCGGUGGCGAAGGCGGCAUCCUGGACCGACAUUGACGCUGAACGGCGAAAAGCUAGGGGAGCAAACGGG